AGUCGAGGGGCAGCGGGAUUGAAGCUUGCUUCAAUUGCCGGCGACCGGCGCACGGGUGAGUAACGCGUAUCCAACCUUCCGUACACUCAGGGAUAGCCUUUCGAAAGAAAGAUUAAUACCUGAUGGUAUGAUGAGAUUGCAUGAUAGCAUCGUUAAAGAUUCAUCGGUGUACGAUGGGGAUGCGUUCCAUUAGGUAGUAGGCGGGGUAACGGCCCACCUAGUCUACGAUGGAUAGGGGUUCUGAGAGGAAGGUCCCCCACAUUGGAACUGAGACACGGUCCAAACUCCUACGGGAGGCAGCAGUGAGGAAUAUUGGUCAAUGGACGAGAGUCUGAACCAGCCAAGUAGCGUGAAGGAUGAAGGUCCUACGGAUUGUAAACUUCUUUUAUAAGGGAAUAAAACCUCCCACGUGUGGGAGCUUGUAUGUACCUUAUGAAUAAGCAUCGGCUAACUCCGUGCCAGCAGCCGCGGUAAUACGGAGGAUGCGAGCGUUAUCCGGAUUUAUUGGGUUUAAAGGGAGCGCAGACGGGUCGUUAAGUCAGCUGUGAAAGUUUGGGGCUCAACCUUAAAAUUGCAGUUGAUACUGGCGUCCUUGAGUGCGGUUGAGGUGUGCGGAAUUCGUGGUGUAGCGGUGAAAUGCUUAGAUAUCACGAAGAACUCCGAUUGCGAAGGCAGCACACUAA
rnacentral:rRNA from 1 species